GGUGUUGCAUGGCUGUCGUCAGCUCGUGUCGUGAGAUGUUGGGUUAAGUCCCGCAACGAGCGCAACCCUCAUCCUUAGUUACCAUCAGGUAAUGCUGGGGACUUUAAGGAAACUGCCAGUGAUAAACUGGAGGAAGGUGGGGAUGAUGUCAAGUCAUCAUGGCCCUUAUGGAGUGGGCUACACACGUGCUACAAUGGUGGCUACAAUGGGCUGCAAAGUCGCGAGGCUAAGCUAAUCCCUUAAAAGCCAUCUCGGUUCGGAUUGUACUCUGCAACUCGAGUGCAUGAAGUUGGAAUCGCUAGUAAUCGUGGAUCAGCACGCCACGGUGAAUACGUUCCCGGGUCUUGUACACACC
rnacentral:rRNA from 1 species